rnacentral:misc_RNA from 1 species
AAAUUCUCCCCUGAAUCUCAGAUGGAGACAUCUGUUUCAAUUCUAGUUUCAUUCUCAUGUGUCGAGUAUUUUCGCCGGAUGCGAUUGCCAGAGUAUGUGGAAACAAUAAGGAGUGUGGUUGUGAGUGUACAGGAGAAUGAGAAUGCAUGCAACUCAUUUGUAGAAUCUAUGCCCUCUUAUGCUGAUUUGACAAAUCCUCAAGAACUGCUGACGAAAGUGGAAUAUAGAUGGUUCAAUGAUGAAGUGCAAACCGCCCGUAUUUUAUUUUACUUGCGGGUUAUUCCAACGUGUAUUGAACAAUUGCAUGGUCCAGUAUUUAGCAAGGUGGUAGCUCCAACUAUGUUCCUAUAUAUGGGACAUCCAGCCAGAAAAGUAGCUCAAGCUUCCCAUUCUUUAUUUGUGGCAUUUAUAUCUUCAAGGAAGGAUUCUAAUGAGAAUGAAAGAGCAUUAUUGAAGGAGCAACUAGCUUUCUAUUACCUGCAGAGAUCUUUAGAGGGAUAUCCUGGUAUUACUCCUUUUGAUGGUAUGGCUUCGGGAGUUACUGCAUUAGUUCGAAAUCUUCCUGCUGGAAGUCCAGCC